rnacentral:rRNA from 1 species
AUUGAACGCUGGCGGCAGGCCUAACACAUGCAAGUCGAGCGGAUGACGGGAGCUUGCUCCUUGAUUCAGCAGCGGACGGGUGAGUAAUGCCUAGGAAUCUGCCUGGUAGUGGGGGACAACGUUUCGAAAGGAACGCUAAUACCGCAUACGUCCUACGGGAGCAAGCAGGGGACCUUCGGGGCAUGAGCUAUCAGAUGAGCCUAGGUCGGAUUAGCUAGUUGUUGGGGUAAUUGCUCACCAUGGCGACGAUCCGUAACUGGUCUGAGAGGAUGAUCAGUCACACUGGAACUGAGACACGGUCCAGACGCCUAUGGGAGGCAGCAGUGGGGAAUAUUGGACAAUGGGCGAAAGCCUGAUCCAGCCAUGCCGCGUGUGUGAAGAAGGUCUUCGGAUUGUAAAGCACUUUAAGUUGGGAGGAAGGGCAGUAAGCUAAUAUCUUGCUGUUUUGACGUUACCGACAGAAUAAGCACCGGCUAACUCUGUGCCAGCCGCCGCCGUAA